GAUGAACGCUGGCGGCGUGCCUAAUACAUGCAAGUCGAGCGAAUGGAUUAAGAGCUCGCUCUUAUGAAGUUAGCGGCGGACGGGUGAGUAACACGUGGGUAACCUGCCCAUAAGACUGGGAUAACUCCGGGAAACCGGGGCUAAUACCGGAUAACAUUUUGAACCGCAUGGUUCGAAAUUGAAAGGCGGCUUCGGCUGUCACUUAUGGAUGGACCCGCGUCGCAUUAGCUAGUUGGUGAGGUAACGGCUCACCAAGGCAACGAUGCGUAGCCGAACUGGGAGGGUGAUCGGCCACACUGGGACUGAGACACGGCCCAGACUCCUACGGGAGGCAGCAGUAGGGAAUCUUCCGCAAUGGACGAAAGUCUGACGGAGCAACGCCGCGUGAGUGAUGAAGGCUUUCGGGUCGUAAAACUCUGUUGUUAGGGAAGAACAAGUGCUAGUUGAAUAAGCUGGCACCUUGACGGUACCUAACCAGAAAGCCACGGCUAACUACGUGCCAGCAGCCGCAGUAA
rnacentral:rRNA from 1 species